CUUUGCGUUUGUACUAUCUGGCAUUGGAACUUUGCUGAACAAUGAUGAACAAGUCUUCGAAUCCCAGUGGGUUUAGGAAGAUGAGGACCAGGUGGUGGCAGCUGUGAAGAGGAGACUAGGCUCAGCCAUGAGGCAGCAGGAAUUCCCAUAGAGCUCCCUGGCUGGUAUCCAUUUUGAAGAAUAAAUUAUUUUUCAUUUCUUUUGCAUCAAUUACCACAAAAGUAUUUCACUAGGAAGAGAAUUCGCCAGGAGGACCUGAACCCCACAGUACAGUCUUCGUGGGAGGAGGUGAGCUGCGUGUCCUUCUACUCAGCCAUCUUGGCAUUAUCCGCCACAAUACGCAUACCUGUUUCAUAAUCUCUCCUGGCUGUAAACCUGAGCCCCGAUGCUUGACCUAUUGUAAGUCAGAAAAUCAUGUAUGGAAAAAU